GACGAACGCUGGCGGCGUGCUUAACACAUGCAAGUCGAACGAGGUCUUCGGACCGAGUGGCGAACGGGUGAGUAACACGUGAGAAACCUGCCCUGGAGACCGGGAUAAACACUCCGAAAGGAUUGCUAAUACCGGAUGUCCCCAUCGGAUCGCAUGGUCUGAUGAGGAAAUGGAUUCCGCUCCAGGAGGGUCUCGCGGCCUAUCAGCCUUGUUGGUGGGGUAACGGCCCACCAAGGCGUCGACGGGUAGCUGGUCUGAGAGGAUGAUCAGCCACACUGGGACUGAGACACGGCCCAGACUCCUACGGGAGGCAGCAGUGGGGAAUUUUGGACAAUGGGGGAAACCCUGAUCCAGCCAUGCCGCGUGCGGG
rnacentral:rRNA from 1 species